GCAGGAGGAGGAGGAAGAGAGGAGCGGCUGUUGUUGAUGGGUAACAGUCGCCAGGACUACGGAACCAAUGAAGAGCGCUAAACAGGGGUUGCCUGUACAAUUAAACAAAGCACAGGCCGGAAAGGAAAUAUUACCAACACGGCUACCAAGUACACCCCUGAAACAUGGAAGAUGCCGAAUUUCAGCUGAUUUUGGAUUUUAAAAUUCAUUGCAGAACAACAAGGAAGUUUUUUUACCUCCCUGCCUCCCAUCUGACACCUUCAGAGAAGAAAUUCUACCUGAUCAACACAUCAAAGAGCUACUCAACACAGCUCACAAAGACAUUCUCAUGGACCCGGAGGGACAGACUUCCAUCUUCAGCUCCCUCUGUCCAAAAAUGAAGUUUAUUUCCUACCUAUGGGGACUUUUUACCAUCUUGUACCAUCUACACUUUUCCCAGAGCCUGACGAAGGGACUUUGAUCCCAAAAGCUUGCAGAAAAGGACAGUUUUCUUGCCAUUUUCCAGUUGGUCUAAUAAAAGAUAUCAUUUCGGAA